rnacentral:rRNA from 1 species
ACUCAAAGGAAUAGACGGGGACCCGCACAAGCGGUGGAGCGUGUUGUUUAAUUCGAUGGUAAGCGAAGAACCUUACCAGGGCUUGACAUCCUUGGAAUUUCUGCGAAAGCAGAAAGUGCCUUUUGGAACCAAGUGACAGGUGAUGCAUGGCCGUCUUCAGCUCGUGUCGUGAGAUGUUGGGUUAAGUCCCGCAACGAGCGCAACCCUUAUCGUUAGUUGGAUUUUUCUAACGAGACUGCCUCGGUAACGGGGAGGAAGGAGGGGAUGAUGUCAGGUCAGUAUUUCCCUUACGUCCUGGGCUACAAACACGCUACAAUGGCCGGUACAAAGAGCUGCAAAGCCGCGAGGCGAAGCAAAUCUCAUCAAAGCCGGUCCCAGUUCGGAUAGCAGGCUGAAACUCGCCUGCUUGAAGUCGGAAUCGCUAGUAACCGUAGGUCAGCACACUACGGUGAAUACGUUCCCGGGUCUUGUACACACCGCCCGU